rnacentral:rRNA from 1 species
AUGGGCUCGACAUGGGUUGAACAUAGGGUUUUUGGCCUGAGCAUGCAAGUGUAUGGCCGGGUCAAUAAGUACGUGAUCAAUAUGUUGGGAAAAGCAGUAAUGGCCGAGCAAACUGAAAAGGAUAGGCUCAAUCUUCUCCCGCGAAGUUACUGGUCAAGAUACUAUGUCGAAUGCGACAUUGCUAAAUUAUUCCAAAAGGCAUUUGAAACUCCAUUGGCGUUAUCUGUUCACCUGAGGGAGACAAUGAUAGGAUUCCAUCUUGACCGAAUUCACAUGGUGUUUUUACCUUUAAGCUCGUACAGUUUCUGGUACACGGUUGUUGCUAACUUUAGGAAGAAAAUGUUCGAAGUCCUCUGCCCAAACAACAGAAUCGACUUGAUUGCUGAUGAAGCUCAGCUUGUAAUCAAGAAUUUCAAAGCGGCUUUCAAGCUGGCAUACAAGAGAUCACAAGUAAAUGUGACUGACAUGGGUGUGUCUUUCCGGAGUGUGUGCUCUUCAACUAAAGAGGCAGAUAGUGGGAUCUUCACAAUGAAGUUGGUACAAGGACAUGAUGGAGACAACACUUUGUGUUUCGAACCCGAGCAUGCAAAGAGCAUGCGCGAGAGUCUAACUUACUACAUGGUUGCUCACCCUUGCAAUGAAAACCUGAUGCCAGAAACCAAAGAACUCUUAAGAAAAUAUGUGUUCCAUUUGACUACUCGACUCCAGGGUAUUCUCCAUGGGGUCCUGUUGCACAACAAUGUUAACUACAUCUGGCUGGAAAAGAUCAUCCCAACAGGACUAAAUCAUGACCCUAAGAUAGAUGGAGGAUCACCCAAGGAUGGCAAAAUGCCGUACACAUGA